rnacentral:rRNA from 1 species
GGGUUGUGAGGUUAAGCGACUAAGCGUACACGGUGGAUGCCCUGGCAGUCAGAGGCGAUGAAGGACGUGCUAAUCUGCGAUAAGCGUCGGUAAGGUGAUAUGAACCGUUAUAACCGGCGAUUUCCGAAUGGGGAAACCCAGUGUGAUUCGUCACACUAUCAUUAACUGAAUCCAUAGGUUAAUGAGGCGAACCGGGGGAACUGAAACAUCUAAGUACCCCGAGGAAAAGAAAUCAACCGAGAUUCCCCCAGUAGCGGCGAGCGAACGGGGAGCAGCCCAGAGCCUGAAUCAGUGUGUGUGUUAGUGGAAGCGUCUGGAAAGGCGCGCGAUACAGGGUGACAGCCCCGUACACAAAAAUGCACAUACUGUGAGCUCGAUGAGUAGGGCGGGACACGUGGUAUCCUGUCUGAAUAUGGGGGGACCAUCCUCCAAGGCUAAAUACUCCUGACUGACCGAUAGUGAACCAGUACCGUGAGGGAAAGGCGAAAAGAACCCCGGCGAGGGGAGUGAAAAAGAACCUGAAACCGUGUACGUACAAGCAGUGGGAGCACAGAGCAAUCUGUGUGACUGCGUACCUUUUGUAUAAUGGGUCAGCGACUUAUAUUCUGUAGCAAGGUUAACCGAAUAGGGGAGCCGAAGGGAAACCGAGUCUUAACUGGGCGUUAAGUUGCAGGGUAUAGACCCGAAACCCGGUGAUCUAGCCAUGGGCAGGUUGAAGGUUGGGUAACACUAACUGGAGGACCGAACCGACUAAUGUUGAAAAAUUAGCGGAUGACUUGUGGCUGGGGGUGAAAGGCCAAUCAAACCGGGAGAUAGCUGGUUCUCCCCGAAAGCUAUUUAGGUAGCGCCUCGUGAAUUCAUCUCCGGGGGUAGAGCACUGUUUCGGCAAGGGGGUCAUCCCGACUUACCAACCCGAUGCAAACUGCGAAUACCGGAGAAUGUUAUCACGGGAGACACACGGCGGGUGCUAACGUCCGUCGUGAAGAGGGAAACAACCCAGACCGCCAGCUAAGGUCCCAAAGUCAUGGUUAAGUGGGAAACGAUGUGGGAAGGCCCAGACAGCCAGGAUGUUGGCUUAGAAGCAGCCAUCAUUUAAAGAAAGCGUAAUAGCUCACUGGUCGAGUCGGCCUGCGCGGAAGAUGUAACGGGGCUAAACCAUGCACCGAAGCUGCGGCAGCGACGCUGAUGCGUUGUUGGGUAGGGGAGCGUUCUGUAAGCCUGUGAAGGUGUACUGUGAGGUAUGCUGGAGGUAUCAGAAGUGCGAAUGCUGACAUAAGUAACGAUAAAGCGGGUGAAAAGCCCGCUCGCCGGAAGACCAAGGGUUCCUGUCCAACGUUAAUCGGGGCAGGGUGAGUCGACCCCUAAGGCGAGGCCGAAAGGCGUAGUCGAUGGGAAACAGGUUAAUAUUCCUGUACUUGGUGUUACUGCGAAGGGGGGACGGAGAAGGCUAUGUUGGCCGGGCGACGGUUGUCCCGGUUUAAGCGUGUAGGCUGGUUUUCCAGGCAAAUCCGGAAAAUCAAGGCUGAGGCGUGAUGACGAGGCACUACGGUGCUGAAGCAACAAAUGCCCUGCUUCCAGGAAAAGCCUCUAAGCAUCAGGUAACAUCAAAUCGUACCCCAAACCGACACAGGUGGUCAGGUAGAGAAUACCAAGGCGCUUGAGAGAACUCGGGUGAAGGAACUAGGCAAAAUGGUGCCGUAACUUCGGGAGAAGGCACGCUGAUAUGUAGGUGAAGUCCCUCGCGGAUGGAGCUGAAAUCAGUCGAAGAUACCAGCUGGCUGCAACUGUUUAUUAAAAACACAGCACUGUGCAAACACGAAAGUGGACGUAUACGGUGUGACGCCUGCCCGGUGCCGGAAGGUUAAUUGAUGGGGUUAGCGCAAGCGAAGCUCUUGAUCGAAGCCCCGGUAAACGGCGGCCGUAACUAUAACGGUCCUAAGGUAGCGAAAUUCCUUGUCGGGUAAGUUCCGACCUGCACGAAUGGCGUAAUGAUGGCCAGGCUGUCUCCACCCGAGACUCAGUGAAAUUGAACUCGCUGUGAAGAUGCAGUGUACCCGCGGCAAGACGGAAAGACCCCGUGAACCUUUACUAUAGCUUGACACUGAACAUUGAGCCUUGAUGUGUAGGAUAGGUGGGAGGCUUUGAAGUGUGGACGCCAGUCUGCAUGGAGCCGACCUUGAAAUACCACCCUUUAAUGUUUGAUGUUCUAACGUUGACCCGUAAUCCGGGUUGCGGACAGUGUCUGGUGGGUAGUUUGACUGGGGCGGUCUCCUCCUAAAGAGUAACGGAGGAGCACGAAGGUUGGCUAAUCCUGGUCGGACAUCAGGAGGUUAGUGCAAUGGCAUAAGCCAGCUUGACUGCGAGCGUGACGGCGCGAGCAGGUGCGAAAGCAGGUCAUAGUGAUCCGGUGGUUCUGAAUGGAAGGGCCAUCGCUCAACGGAUAAAAGGUACUCCGGGGAUAACAGGCUGAUACCGCCCAAGAGUUCAUAUCGACGGCGGUGUUUGGCACCUCGAUGUCGGCUCAUCACAUCCUGGGGCUGAAGUAGGUCCCAAGGGUAUGGCUGUUCGCCAUUUAAAGUGGUACGCGAGCUGGGUUUAGAACGUCGUGAGACAGUUCGGUCCCUAUCUGCCGUGGGCGCUGGAGAACUGAGGGGGGCUGCUCCUAGUACGAGAGGACCGGAGUGGACGCAUCACUGGUGUUCGGGUUGUCAUGCCAAUGGCACUGCCCGGUAGCUAAAUGCGGAAGAGAUAAGUGCUGAAAGCAUCUAAGCACGAAACUUGCCCCGAGAUGAGUUCUCCCUGACUCCUUGAGAGUCCUGAAGGAACGUUGAAGACGACGACGUUGAUAGGCCGGAUGUGUAAGCGCAGCGAUGCGUUGAGCUAACCGGUACUAAUGAACCGUGAGGCUUAACCUUACAACGCCGAAGGUGUUU